UUAUCUAUAGCUUAAGUAAAGCGUGACUCUGAAGAAGUUAAUAUGAUUAGAUUCUGGAUUUUUAAUCGAUAAA
rnacentral:tRNA from 1 species